UCUAUCUCGCAUCCCUCAAAGAAGAGAAGACACUCUCCAUUUUCCAUAAACUCUCGGCCAAAUAUGGAUUCCCCAAGCUGAAAUCGAUUCAUUCUCCCCUAACUCUAAGAAUAUAUGGGUUCAUACUGCAUCAGCUAGUCAAAAAAUUGUUGCAACAUCAUCAAGGGAUGGAUUGGCAUCUUCUACAUCUGUUAAGAUGCAAACAUAUGAGCCUCCUACUGUAGCAGGUUGUAUCUAACCAGUCCGUUGGUGGAAAUAAUACACCUAAUGAGAGCAAGGAUCUUCAUGACAAUGGAAAUGAAUAGUUUCACUCAUGAUGAAUGUCAAGAUAUUAAGUCAGCAUUGCUUAAGCAACUAAAUUCACAAUACCGAAGUCGGCAUUAUACAUUUGAUAAGAUCUUCAAACAAUCUGGGAUAAUGGAGGAAGCACUAGCAAAUCAUCUUGCAUAUGUGGUAGAAAAUGAUUGGAGUUUCCUUUGUAACUACUUUUGCAGUCCUGAAUUUAAGGUAAAUGGCCUGAUUGUUUUUCAAUUACUAUUUCUUAGUACCAUACAUGCUAUAUUUUGUUGAAUUUGAUUAAUCCUUUCACUUCUUUAAUGUAGGCGAUGA